rnacentral:rRNA from 1 species
UGAUCCUGGCUCAGGACGAACGCUGGCGGCGUGCCUAAUACAUGCAAGUCGAGCGGACAGAUGGGAGCUUGCUCCCUGAUGUUAGCGGCGGACGGGUGAGUAACACGUGGGUAACCUGCCUGUAAGACUGGGAUAACUCCGGGAAACCGGGGCUAAUACCGGAUGCUUGUUUGAACCGCAUGGUUCAAACAUAAAAGGUGGCUUCGGCUACCACUUACAGAUGGACCCGCGGCGCAUUAGCUAGUUGGUGAGGUAAUGGCUCACCAAGGCGACGAUGCGUAGCCGACCUGAGAGGGUGAUCGGCCACACUGGGACUGAGACACGGCCCAGACUCCUACGGGAGGCAGCAGUAGGGAAUCUUCCGCAAUGGACGAAAGUCUGACGGAGCAACGCCGCGUGAGUGAUGAAGGUUUUCGGAUCGUAAAGCUCUGUUGUUAGGGAAGAACAAGUACCGUUCGAAUAGGGCGGUACCUUGACGGUACCUAACCAGAAAGCCACGGCUAACUACGUGCCAGCAGCCGCGGUAAUACGUAGGUGGCAAGCGUUGUCCGGAAUUAUUGGGCGUAAAGGGCUCGCAGGCGGUUUCUUAAGUCUGAUGUGAAAGCCCCCGGCUCAACCGGGGAGGGUCAUUGGAAACUGGGGAACUUGAGUGCAGAAGAGGAGAGUGGAAUUCCACGUGUAGCGGUGAAAUGCGUAGAGAUGUGGAGGAACACCAGUGGCGAAGGCGACUCUCUGGUCUGUAACUGACGCUGAGGAGCGAAAGCGUGGGGAGCGAACAGGAUUAGAUACCCUGGUAGUCCACGCCGUAAACGAUGAGUGCUAAGUGUUAGGGGGUUUCCGCCCCUUAGUGCUGCAGCUAACGCAUUAAGCAUUCCGCCUGGAGUCGCAUUCC